CCUACGGGAGGCAGCAGUGGGGAAUAUUGCACAAUGGGGGAAACCCUGAUGCAGCGACGCCGCGUGAGCGAUGAAGUAUCUCGGUAUGUAAAGCUCUAUCCGCAGGGAAGCAAAUGACGGUACCUGACUAAGAAGCCCCGGCUAACUACGUGCCAGCAGCCGCGGUAAUACGUAGGGGGCAAGCGUUAUCCGGAUUUACUGGGUGUAAAGGGAGCGUAGACGGCUUGGCAAGCCAGAUGUGAAAGGCUGGGGCUCAACCCCAGGACUGCAGUUGGAACUGUCAUGCUAGAGUGACGGAGAGGCAGGCGGAAUGCGUAGUGUAGCGGUGAAAUGCGUAGAUAGUAGGAGGAACACCGGUGGCGAAGGCGGCCUGCUGGACGAUGACUGACGUGGAGGCUCGAAAGCGUGGGGAGCAAACAGGAUUAGAUACCCCUGUAGUC
rnacentral:rRNA from 1 species